rnacentral:rRNA from 1 species
AGGCUGCAACCCGCCUGCAUGAAGUCGGAAUUGCUAGUAAUCGCGGAUCAGCAUGCCGCGGUGAAUACGUUCCCGGGCCUUGUACACACCGCCCGUCACACCAUGGGAGCCGGUAAUACCCGAAGUCAGUAGUCCAACCUCGUGAGGACGCUGCCGAAGGUAGGAUUGGCGACUGGGGUGAAGUCGUAACAAGGUAUC